AGCAAGAGAACUAGAAUUUAAUGUGAAGCCUGAAGAUAUGAUUGAAUUGCUGCAAUCUCAUGGUCAAACUUGAGUGAAUGAAGAGUUGCUUCUUUUGGAUGAGCAAAGACAGUGGUUUCUUGGGAUGGAAUGUACUCCUGA